rnacentral:rRNA from 1 species
AGUGAACGCUGGCGGUAGGCCUAACACAUGCAAGUCGAACGGCAGCACAGUAAGAGCUUGCUCUUACGGGUGGCGAGUGGCGGACGGGUGAGGAAUACAUCGGAAUCUACUUUUUCGUGGGGGAUAACGUAGGGAAACUUACGCUAAUACCGCAUACGACCUACGGGUGAAAGCAGGGGAUCUUCGGACCUUGCGCGAUUGAAUGAGCCGAUGUCGGAUUAGCUAGUUGGCGGGGUAAAGGCCCACCAAGGUGACGAUCCGUAGCUGGUCUGAGAGGAUGAUCAGCCACACUGGAACUGAGACACGGUCCAGACUCCUACGGGAGGCAGCAGUGGGGAAUAUUGGACAAUGGGCGCAAGCCUGAUCCAGCCAUACCGCGUGGGUGAAGAAGGCCUUCGAGUUGUAAAGCCCUUUUGUUGGGAAAGAAAAGCAGCAGGUUAAUACCCCGCUGUUCCGACGGUACCCAAAGAAUAAGCACCGGCUAACUUCGUG